rnacentral:rRNA from 1 species
CUCUGUGACUCCUACGGGAGGCAGCAGUGGGGAAUAUUGCACAAUGGGCGCAAGCCUGAUGCAGCCAUGCCGCGUGUGUGAAGAAGGCCUUCGGGUUGUAAAGCACUUUCAGUUGUGAGGAAGGUGGUGUCGUUAAUAGCGGCAUCAUUUGACGUUAGCAACAGAAGAAGCACCGGCUAACUCCGUGCCAGCAGCCGCGGUAAUACGGAGGGUGCGAGCGUUAAUCGGAAUUACUGGGCGUAAAGCGCAUGCAGGUGGUUUGUUAAGUCAGAUGUGAAAGCCCCGGGGCUCAACCUCGGAACUGCAUUUGAAACUGGCAGACUAGAGUACUGUAGAGGGGGUAGAAUUUCAGGUGUAGCGGUGAAAUGCGUAGAGAUCUGAAGGAAUACCGGUGGCGAAGGCGGCCCCCUGGACAGAUACUGACACUCAGAUGCGAAAGCGUGGGGAGCAAACAGGAUUAGAUACCCUGGUGG